GCCUCUUCAGCUCACCAGGCAGAGCACCCGUCUCGUAAACGGAAGGACCGGGUUCGAGUCCCGGAAGAGGCU
rnacentral:tRNA from 2 species